rnacentral:tRNA from 1 species
GUUUAGCGGUUAGAACGCUGGCCUUGUAAUCCUGGGGUCUCGGGUUCGAUUCCCGG